GUUAAGCGACUAAGCGUACACGGUGGAUGCCCUGGCAGUCAGAGGCGAUGAAGGACGUGCUAAUCUGCGAUAAGCGUCGGUAAGGUGAUAUGAACCGUUAUAACCGGCGAUUUCCGAAUGGGGAAACCCAGUGUGAUUCGUCACACUAUCAUUAACUGAAUCCAUAGGUUAAUGAGGCGAACCGGGGGAACUGAAACAUCUAAGUACCCCGAGGAAAAGAAAUCAACCGAGAUUCCCCCAGUAGCGGCGAGCGAACGGGGAGCAGCCCAGAGCCUGAAUCAGUGUGUGUGUUAGUGGAAGCGUCUGGAAAGGCGCGCGAUACAGGGUGACAGCCCCGUACACAAAAAUGCACAUGCUGUGAGCUCGAUGAGUAGGGCGGGACACGUGGUAUCCUGUCUGAAUAUGGGGGGACCAUCCUCCAAGGCUAAAUACUCCUGACUGACCGAUAGUGAACCAGUACCGUGAGGGAAAGGCGAAAAGAACCCCGGCGAGGGGAGUGAAAAAGAACCUGAAACCGUGUACGUACAAGCAGUGGGAGCACGCUUAGGCGUGUGACUGCGUACCUUUUGUAUAAUGGGUCAGCGACUUAUAUUCUGUAGCAAGGUUAACCGAAUAGGGGAGCCGAAGGGAAACCGAGUCUUAACUGGGCGUUAAGUUGCAGGGUAUAGACCCGAAACCCGGUGAUCUAGCCAUGGGCAGGUUGAAGGUUGGGUAACACUAACUGGAGGACCGAACCGACUAAUGUUGAAAAAUUAGCGGAUGACUUGUGGCUGGGGGUGAAAGGCCAAUCAAACCGGGAGAUAGCUGGUUCUCCCCGAAAGCUAUUUAGGUAGCGCCUCGUGAAUUCAUCUCCGGGGGUAGAGCACUGUUUCGGCAAGGGGGUCAUCCCGACUUACCAACCCGAUGCAAACUACGAAUACCGGAGAAUGUUAUCACGGGAGACACACGGCGGGUGCUAACGUCCGUCGUGAAGAGGGAAACAACCCAGACCGCCAGCUAAGGUCCCAAAGUCAUGGUUAAGUGGGAAACGAUGUGGGAAGGCCCAGACAGCCAGGAUGUUGGCUUAGAAGCAGCCAUCAUUUAAAGAAAGCGUAAUAGCUCACUGGUCGAGUCGGCCUGCGCGGAAGAUGUAACGGGGCUAAACCAUGCACCGAAGCUGCGGCAGCGACGCUUAUGCGUUGUUGGGUAGGGGAGCGUUCUGUAAGCCUGCGAAGGUGUGCUGUGAGGCAUGCUGGAGGUAUCAGAAGUGCGAAUGCUGACAUAAGUAACGAUAAAGCGGGUGAAAAGCCCGCUCGCCGGAAGACCAAGGGUUCCUGUCCAACGUUAAUCGGGGCAGGGUGAGUCGACCCCUAAGGCGAGGCCGAAAGGCGUAGUCGAUGGGAAACAGGUUAAUAUUCCUGUACUUGGUGUUACUGCGAAGGGGGGACGGAGAAGGCUAUGUUGGCCGGGCGACGGUUGUCCCGGU
rnacentral:rRNA from 1 species